rnacentral:ncRNA from 17 species
CUUAUUCUUAAGGGGUGCCUUAAAGAGUAAUAAGUUCUAAGUUUCGAGUUUUAAGCGCUGACCGCAUGUUCAGCUUCUUAUAACCUUUAACUUCAAACCUGAUACUCUAAAAUACAGGCUGAGAUUAUACCCAUCAAUGUUAAAACGUCUCAACAGUUGACACAUUGAGCACCUGAUCCGGAUAAUGCCGGCGUAGGGAGGUAAAAGUUAAAUUUAG